AUCGAUGCAAUUUACAUGAUGUUUCUGUGCGAGUUAUUUGGUGGUGUUGGGGCUACGUUGUUGGACGUAGUUGUUUUGGAUGUUUAUAGUGAAACUUGGAAUCAGAAGAUGGAGAGGUGAGAGAAAGAAAGUUACUGUUUUUCUCUAUUGACAUAUAUUUAUUCUUUGGAGCCCAUAACAAUAACAUCCCACGCUCUCUAAAGAGGCGGGCAGCAUAUAAUGCCACAUCACCGCAUUGUGUUUUAAUGACAUAUUCGAGGUGUGGUUGGAGUGUUUAAAUGGAAUAGACUUAAGAUAAAGUGUAAGUGAAAAGUGAGGACAGCUUUAAGAGGUUGUCGAUAUAUUCUGCCUUAAUUAUUCUCAUUGAACUAUGCAUUUAUUUUAGAUCAUGUUUCUCAACAGGUAAAAUAUGUUAUGUUUGUAUUUCUUUACAAAAUGAGUUAAGAGUUUACUAUUUUAAAGUUUUUACAUGUCAUUAUAUGGUCACAUUAGAGAUAUUCAGAACACCUUUUCGUAUAAUCAAAAUUUUAAGAAUGGAGAAUGACUUGUAUCAUAUGAAAAGUUUGCGCAUCUAUCUUAAAACUUUGAUUGGAUAUAGUAGUUUUAGAUCAUUACAAAAUUGUACACCUUUUUAAAUUUUGAUAUGUCGCAUAUAAAACCUUUCUUUCUGUGGAAGAAAGCACAGAAAACCUUGAGCUCAAGCUUGAGCUUCCAUGGUGGAACUCAGAAGCCUCGAGAGAGAAGUCUGAGAGAAGUCAAUUUGGAAAUGAACUUUGUAAAUCAUAUUAGUUUAGUGAUUGAGUACAUAUAUACACAUGUAGGGUCCUCCACUUACAACAUGUAACAAUCUAACUACUAACUAAUUGCAAACUAAUGAAACAACUAAUCUAACAGUAAGUGAAAACAUAUAAAUAUACAUAGUUCAAUACCCCUCCUCAAGUUGGAGGUGAUGUCUUCACAACCAACUUGCUCAACAUAGUGGAAUGUUUGAUGCCAGGGAGAGCCUUGGUGAGAGUUAUGUGUGCCAAUAUGAUGUAAGGAAAUGAGACCUUCUUGAAGCAUACCCCUCACAAAGUGACAAUCGAACUCGAUGUGUUUGGUCCACUCAUGGAACACUAGAUUCCUAGCAAUGUGUAAAGCUCAUUGGCUGUCACAAUACACAAUCAUAGGCGUAGGAAAAGGAACAGUCAGCUCCUCAAACAAUCUGCAUAACCAAGUCAGCCCCAACCACCUUUCUAAGAGACUUGUAUUUGGUUUCAACUGAAGAAAGAGAAAUGAUUUUCUGCUUCUUAGACUUCCAACGAAAAGGUCUGGUACCUAGCAACACCAAGUAACCACUGACCGACCUUCUGAAAUAUGGGCAGGCAACACAGUCAAAGUCAUACUGCCAUUUAAUGGUGCAAUCAGGAUUAUUAGACAGAAAGAUUCCAAGUGUAGGAUCACAUUUAAGUUACCUAAGCAAGUGAAAUGCUAAGUUUAACUGAAACGUGCUAGUACUAACCAGUUCGAACUUCUUUAUCCUAUAAAGCACGGAAUUGUGCAAAGAACAACGAUUAGGCUCAUGUUUAAAGUUGGAUCGUCACCUUUCAUUGACGCUCCAUUUUAAGUCCAUUCCAUUUGAACACUAGUUGGGUAUUCAAAAUCGAACCAAACUAGAAAACCAAAUCAAAAUCAAAGCUUAAUGAUUUAAUAGUAUUCCAUUAAUAAUUUAAUGGGUGGAGAACGGAUUAAACUCUUUUCAUUAACUAACGAUUUAUCGGUUUGGGUGGAUUAUUCAAUUUUCUUAACGGAUAAUCUAUUAACCCGUUAAGAAUGUGUGUGUGAAUAUAUAUAUAUAUAAAAAAUCUUUUUUCUUAAUUUUGAGUUGGUAUUAUUUGAAACAAAAAAGAAAGGACUUUUUCUUUUUAUUCAUUUUCUUUAUUGUCUUUUUCCUAUUAUGUGGAAAAUUAAGUCCAGUCACAUAUUAUACAGGCACUAUAUUCAAAUUGAAAAUUUUUUCGUCAGUAUCUGAUCCAACACAAUCGUCCGAAAGCACUUCUUGCUCAAUAUCAGGUAAACAACUUAAAUUAUUUUUUUAUUGGCAACUUAAUCAAUUACUAGAGAGAAAAAAAUAAUAAUAACGCCCUAUACAGUUAUUAUUUUUUACUAAUUAUGUGAUGAGUCUUGGUAGAGAAUUAAAGAAAUGAAAUGGGUUUGGUCAAGAGAACAUUUAGUUGUAGGUGCGUAUUUUCUACUAAUUCACUAAACUGAUAUCAAUCCGCUCGAUAUCUUAUCGGAUAGCUAGUAGCUAGUGGAUUAAUACAUUUAAAAAUGGAUAACAGAAUAUUUCCGACAAUCCUUGAGGCAUCCGCGAAAAGAAGAACAGAAUAUCCAUAGCUUUCGCAUUUAUUGUCAUUUCUAAAGGGCAGAGUCUUUUCUAGAUCUGCCCCUCUUUCUCGCUCUCUCCUGAUUCGUUGUUCAUCACUGUAAGAUCUCUCUUCUCCAAUUCAUUGAUUUUCAUCACACACACACAUCGUUCGGUUGCUAACAAUUGAUAUGAUAAAGUUUGUUUAUUUGUGUAUCUAUUUUGUUGAUCGAGAAGUUUAUGGAAUUUAAGAUCUGGAUUUAGGCCGUUUGGAUCUGGGGUUUUAAUAAGGUUUUCAUCUUUAUUUGAUAUUCAUGUGCAUUCUUCGUAUUUCUAUUGAUUUGAUCUGGUUAUGCUUUCUGUAUUAUGUCAAUUUUUGGAUGUGGAUUUUUGUUCUUUUUUGUUAAUGGAUCUGGAUUUUGGUUAGUUAUGUCAAUGUUCAAUUUCUAAUAAAGUUUUCAUCUUUCUUUGAUAUUCAUGUGCAUUCUUCGUAUUUCUAUUGAUUUGAUCUGGUUAUGCUUUCUGUAUUAUGUCAAUUUUUUGGAUGUGGAUUUUUGUUCUUUUUUGUUAAUGGAUCUAAGACAAGAGGGGUUGCUCUGAUGGUAAGCAACCCCACUUCCAACCGAGAGGUUGUGAGUNNNNNNNNNNNNNNNNNNNNNNNNNNNNNNNNNNNNNNNNNNNNNNNNNNNNNNNNNNNNNNNNNNNNNNNNNNNNNNNNNNNNNNNNNNNNNNNNNNNNNNNNNNNNNNNNNNNNNNNNNNNNNNNNNNNNNNNNNNNNNNNNNNNNNNNNNNNNAACGGUAGGGGUAAGGUCUGCGUACACACUACCCUCCCCAGACCCCACUAAGUGGGAUUAUACUGGGUUGUUGUUGUUGUUGUUGUUGUUGUUUUGUUAAUGGAUCUUUUUGGGUUUCAUCACUACUGUAUCUUGAAGCGAAACUCUGUUUUCUUAUCAGUUUCUUCAGCUAUUUUUCCUCUGUUUUCUGAUCUCGUCUUCUUUGGUGCCGGCCACCAUCAAACUUGUUGGCAAAACUCUUAACUCUCAGAUCUGAGAUUUUCGAAAAAAAUUAAUAAAAGAGAGGAUUUCAGUUUACUCUCCUAUUUGCGUUCUUUGGCAUCCACUUCUCCUGAGUUUAAAAGGGCUGUUGGCUAUUAGUCUCUCAAAUCUGAGAUUUUCGAAAAAUUUUAAUAAAAGAGAGGAUUUCAGUUUGGUCUCAUAUUUCCGUUCUUUGGCACUUCUCCUGAGUUUAAAAGGGUUGUUGGCUGUUAGAGUUACUGAUUUUCUUGUGAAGCUGCCUAAAAUCUAUCUGGAUUUGGAUUUCUGCCUCUAUUUCGGAGCUUAAUUUUUUUGUUGUUUCAGCCAAAUGUGAAACCUCAAAAGCCUUAGUUCACUGCCCGCAAAAAGAUUCUCCAAUCAGUUUUUUUUUUGAAUUCUUGCUUUUCGCCGGCGAUUUUUUCGGCGACCCCUGCUCUUUUCUUCCUAUUCUCUCUUCUGCUUUUUGUGGGUAUGUGUGGGUGUGUUCUAUUUUCUUGAACAGGUGCCCUAUUUUUCCGGCGAGGAUUUCCGGCAAGCUACAGUACUUCCGGCGACUACACGUUUAGACUUUCGGCAAGACGCAAUAGAACUACACGUUCUGGUUUUCUUGGACAGGUGCCUUAUAUUUCCGGCAAACUACAGUACUUACGGCGACUCCUGUUCAGACUGUUGGCAGGACGCAACAAAACUACACGUUCCGAUAAGCUUCAGGAAAACUUUUCCCAGGUAUCCGUCGCGGCGGCGAGGCAAGUUCGCGGCGUUUGGGAGUCAAGAGCUAAGCAACACCGCCCGGAACGUGCAAGAGUCGGUAGCAGUUGACCUUGGGCGCAUCAAAGCCUACUUUCAGGUUUUUCCACCGGGAGUUGGUACCUCCCGCUCUCUUGUUUACUUAGUACACCUUUUACGUAUUUUACCUAGCAUUCCGUGUGAGGUUUAAUCUGGUACUAUCUAGUUUGCCUCUUUUUGCGUAUUCCGCUAUAGUGUGUGUGUGUGUCACUAUUCUCCAUAGUCGGUUGGAGGGAUAGUGGCCGCGACGGGGAUGAUAGUGUAAGGUCAUGUCCUCGGGUGUGGGGGCGGUGGCGGGGGUGAGUAUGGGGCAGGGAGUGGUCCUGUGGAUAGGGGCGGGAGGUAAGGGUCGGAAGAGGGUAGCGGACGCUCAUAGAUUAAGGAUUGGGUCGUGGAACAUAGGCACUCUGANNN
rnacentral:lncRNA from 1 species